AUGCUUACCUGGCAGGGGAGAUACCAUGAUCACGAAGUUGGUUUUCCCAGGGCGAGGCACUGGAUAUGCUCGCCCAUCACACUCCAGAUGUGCUGACCCUUGCGAUUUCCCCAAAUGCGGAAAACUCGACUGCAUAAUUUGUGGUAGUGGGGGACUGCGUUCGCGCUCUCCCCUG
rnacentral:snRNA from 1 species